AUUGAACGCUGGCGGAAUGCUUUACACAUGCAAGUCGAACGGCAGCACGGACUUCGGUCUGGUGGCGAGUGGCGAACGGGUGAGUAAUACAUCGGAACGUGCCCAGUCGUGGGGGAUAACGUAGCGAAAGCUACGCUAAUACCGCAUACGAUCUAAGGAUGAAAGCGGGGGACCGUAAGGCCUCGCACGAUUGGAGCGGCCGGUGGCAGAUUAGGUAGUUGGGGGGGUAAAGGCUCACCAAGCCGACGGUCUGUAGCUGGUCUGAGAGGACGACCAGCCACACUGGGACUGAGACACGGCCCAGACUCCUACGGGAGGCAGCAGUGGGGAAUUUUGGACAAUGGGCGCAAGCCUGAUCCAGCCAUUCCGCGUGCAGGAUGAAGGCCCUCGGGUUGUAAACUGCUUUUGUACGGAACGAAAAGGCUCUGGUUAAUACCUGGGGCUCAUGACGGUACCGUAAGAAUAAGCACCGGCUAACUACGUGCCAGCCGCCGCAGUAA
rnacentral:rRNA from 1 species